UGCAGAAGAUCGGGAAGGGAGGUCCUUCGGCAACAAGGCGAGACGGGUGGUGGGAGAAUUCUGGGAUUUCUACAGGUGCGAGCCAGGAUAUGAGGCCAUAGCGGCUCAGGUGGCUGACACAGCAUGUCGCAAACUAGUGAAGGACAUGCACUACGAGGCGCGUGUUCAGGCCGUAAUUACCUACUGCGCCGAUGUGGAAAAAAGGAAGGUCGGCAAGGACGUAGCAAGAAAUAUGUUCCUCACGCGGGAACAAUACUUGAGGGUGCCUCAGAACUGGUGCGCCGGCAAGGGCGCGUGCUGGGAAAUGAUGGUGGACAUGUGGCUUAGCGAGGAGUGGAUUCAGCGGC